AAAAGUAUUGUGUGGCAUACAAACUUACACAGAGAGACAAAAAAUUAUUUAUACUUAAAAUCAAUAUCUCUAUUACAUAAGGGAAGGGGGGAGCAACGGUGUCCUCUUUUGAACUGACUAUUUUGCCCCCCUUCCCUUUCUAAAUUACAAAAGGAACGGAGAUAAUAGGAAUUAGUUGAAAAGGGCUUUUAUAUAAUUAGACUUAAAUUUGAUUCAUCUUCAUAUAAAAUCUGAAAACAAGAUGUGUAUGAAAUUUGAUUAAUUUAUGACACUGAUGAAAAGGUUACAAAUUUAUUUUUUUUAAAAAAAUUCCAAUAUAAAUUUUUGCCCAAAACUUUUGCAAAAUAUCCAUGUUCAGAAAUAAAUUUUGAAAAAUAAAACAAUAUCAAACCUUUUUGCGAACAACUUUUGCAAAAAUCCAUUUUCAGAAAAAAAAAUUUACAUUAAUUUGCGAAAUCAUAUUGUGUAUGAAAAAGUUUAAAUUUCAUUACCUAUAAUUGAAACUCAAAGUGUUAAAAUUUAGAAAAGGAGAAAAAUAAAAAAUGACCAUUUCAUGCGAAAUCAUAUUGUGUAUGAAAAACUUAAAAUUUCAUUUGAAAUAUAAUUGAAAGUCAAAGUGUGAACAUUUAGGGCCUGUUCUCCCCAGCUUAUUUUCAAUUCAGUUCAGUUCAAUUCAGUUCAGUUCAGAUCAGUUGAGAUCAGUUCAGUUCAGAUCAGUUCAAUUCAGAUCAGUUCAGUUCAGCUCUUGACAAUACUUUUACUCUCACAUGUCACUAUUCAUUUCAGUUCAGUUCAGUUCAAUUUAAUUCAGUUCAGAUCAGUUCAGAUCAGUUCAGUUCAGUUCAGUUCAGUUUAGAUCAGUUCAGAUCAGUUCAGUUCAGUUCAGUUCAGCUGUUUUAUGCCGAAGAGAACAUACCCUUAGAAAAGGAGAAAAAUUAAAAUGAUGAAAAUUUUUAAAUAUCAAUUUGUGAAAUCAUAAUUUAGAAGUUAGACAAGGAAAAAUAACUGAAAUUGUCUUAUACUUUUCGGUUACAAUUUUGGGAUCAUAGAGAAAUUACUGAAAUCCAUAUCAAAAACUAUUAUAAAUUACAAAAAUGAAUAAAAGCAAAAAAAAAAAAAGGAUAUUUAGUAAAGAGCAUCACACUGAUUAUAAAAUAAUAUGUGCAUAUAAGACUUGAGAAACAAAAAACUAUUCAAAAUCACAAAAAUGAAUAAGAACAAAAAAAAUAACAUGAAAGAAUCUUAUUCACAAAAUGGAGGUGAACUUAAAUAUUAACUUGCAUUUUCAAUUUGUUUACUACUUAGUAUUAGGCCUAAAAAUAUCAUCGCACGCAUCGCGUGCACAAAAGGCUAGUAUACAUAUAAAGGAGGAACUUUUCGGGAGCAUAGAGCGCGCCACCUAGGAUUGCCACAUCAUCUUAUAAAUUUACAAAUAAUAAAAAUAUACUACCUCUGUUUUUAUUUAGUUGUAACGUUUUGACUUUCACGCUUGCCAAUGUACAAUUUCAAAUCGUUUUAUCUCUAAUUGUAUGUAAGUAAAAAUUAUAAAAAUUUGAUAUUAUGAAAGCUUACAUCGAAACAAAUCAAACAAGACCCCACAUGACUAUAUUUUGUUUAACAUAUAAAUCAAUAAAUGUGGUCAAAUAAGAGAACAUGAAUAGUGCAAUUUGUCAAACGUUGCAACUAAAAGAGAACGGAGGUAGUAUAUAAUAAAAUAUAGAGAUAAUAUAGAUAAUUAAAAAUCUAGAGAUAAUAAAAUUUAGAGUUUGAGAGAUAAUAAAAUUUAGAGAUAAGUUUGAGAGAUAAGACUUUAUCUAUUUCAAUAUUUUUUAUUUUUUUAUUAGAAAUAUAAAACAUAUUUUCAUAUUAUUUCAAUUAUUUUUUUCUGUUUGCGUUUCAAUUGCUAAGAAAUAUCUACUACAACAAUAAAUUCAAAUGAUGAGAAUCGAAUUAUCAUUUGUUUCAACUGGAAAAAAAACAAAGGAAACCUCAUCAAAAAUAUCUCAUGGUCAUAUCCCAAAUAAAUUAUCUAAUUGCAACGUCAUCUUAUUAAUUUAGAGAUAAUAAAAUUUAGAGUUUGAGAGAUAAUAAAAGUUAGAGUUUGAGAGAUAAGAGUUUAUCACUCUACGGCUAUGAUUCACUCUACUAUAAAUAUGCAUGUUUAGCUAACAAUUGACCAUUUUCAUAUACUUAAAACACUACAACUUACAACAAUGGCUCACCAAUAUUCUGAUCCAAACUUAUCACGAGAAGCAAGAAAAAGACGUCGAACGAUAAUUAACCCAGAAUUUAUUCAAGGUUAUACUUUUUCAUACCUAUAAUGGUAUGAAUUUUACUAGCUUUAUGAAUCAACUAUGCAAAUCAGAAUCUCUUAUGCAAUUUCAUAGCCAAUAAUCCAUCUAACUAUUAACAUAAAGUAAAGGUAAUAUUGACAAUUAAAGUUGUUUUUUUUUUUACUUAAAGUUGAUUGGUCCAAAUAGAUAAGUAAAACUGCCCAAAGUGGUGAUUAUUGCAAUGGAAAAGGAACAGAUGAAGUAUGUAAAUCAAAUCGUGUUGAAAAAUCUCAUUUUACAGUCACACAAAAUCAAUAAUGUUAAGAAAAAAUAACAAAAAAAUAUAUAAAAAACAACCCGUGCAACGCACGGGCUUCAAAACUAGUUGAAUAUAUGUGUGAUGAAAAAUUUGUGGUUCUAUUCCAAAAAUAGCAAAUAAGGGACACCCUUAAAAGGAAUAGAGGUAAACUAAUAAAGGACGGAGGGAGUAUAAGCCAAGAGAGGAUGUGUGGUGUCCUUUUUCGAAGUGACUAAAAUACCCUUUAAUAAUUUAAAAUAAUAUUUUUCUUUUUAUAAAAAAUUGAAAAAUGAGAAUCAAUUAAACUUGCCAUAUGAGUAGGUCAAAAAUGGAAUAUGCAAUACCAUUAAUAACUUGACAAACUAGAUUGACACAAUCAAUUCACGAAAUCAAUUAGAAUUUUCAACUGAAAAAAGUUAGCAACAUAUCAUGAUAACAUAAUAUUACAUAUUUACAAAGUUCAAACAAUAUGGUUUAUUAACAUAUAUAAUUGUUAAAGAAAUAUAAUAAAGUCGCUGAAAAGAAAAUUCUUAAAUCAUCGACCAAAUUUUACAGUGACGGUAUUGAACUAGGUUGAAAAUCAUUCACUUUUAAUUUAAAAAGAUAAUAACAUCUACAAAAGAACCUCAAUAAUUUACAUCACUACCAAAAUAAUUUCAAAUAAAAAAAACAUGUCAAUUUGUAUAUAGCUAUAUAAGAUUGUCGACGAACACAUCGCGUGCAUAUGCAACUAGUGUUAAAGGCUCGAAGAAGCAAACAAAGAGUCGAUUGUCCCUAUUACUUUUUUUAGACACACUAGUAGAAAAAACCUCUUUUGCUACUUUACAAAUGCUUGGGUUGUUUUAACAACCCGAGCAUUUGACAAGUUUUUUGGAAAAUUAAAAAGAAAAAUUCACAAAUGCUCGGGUUUUUAAAAACAACCCGAGCAUUUGACUAAUUUAAUACUUUUUUUUUGAAAGGAAUUUUAUACUUGAAGUUGGAACGCAAGUCUAACACUAUUUCCCCUCUAAUCUCUGUUCUCUCUCUCUUUCCCUCUUCAUGAAACUGCUUCUCUUUCUCUCUCUUCCCCUCUUCACUCACUCCUCGAACUGCUUCUUCGAAUGCAUGUCGAGGUAAUUUCUUUCGAUUUUUAUUGUUGUAUUUUUGUUUUUUUUUUGGUUUCCUAGAUUUGGGGAUUAUUUUAGGGUUUUCUUUGAUUCUUUAAGUUUUUUUUUAUUCAAAUCUUUCUCUCUCACCUCGAUUCGCCAUACCGGCCACCGCGGCGAGCCAAUGUUGUUCCGUCAUAUACUUCUUGGCUUGUUUUCCCUUUUCUGAAUUUUCAUCUUCCCAAUUUCUUCUGUAUGUCAACCAAACAAGAAUGCUAAUGUUGUUUGUAUGCCAUGGCCGGAUGGUCCUGUUUCCUCUGUUAAAACUUAUCCUUCAGGGCCGAAAUCUUGAGUUAAGUGACAAUGUUCGAAGCCAUGUGGAAGAAAAGGUUGGAAAAGCUGUCAAGAACCAUAGCCAUUUGAUGCGGGAGGUUAUACAAUGUCGGGUUGUUAAUUGCUGGGAAAAACAAAGAGGUCUGCUCGUUGAAGCUUUUCAUGUUUUUCUUGAAAUGUUCGUGAAGAUUUUUGCUGCAACUAUAACAUUAUCUCUAAUUCAUAACAUGUCUCCUCCCAAAAGAUCAUCUUGAGCCUCCAUGUUUUACUAAUAGAUUUUUCUCUAUAGAAUCUUUCUGAUUCUCAGAAUUUUUAGUUCCCUUCAACUAGGUUUAAGGAUCUCACCAAGAGCUCCAAAACCUUGUCAUUUUGUAUACUACACUACUCAGAAGUGAAAUGAUAUGUUUGUACCAUUAAUGUUUUGAU